rnacentral:rRNA from 1 species
AUCCUGGCUCAGGAUGAACGCUAGCUACAGGCUUAACACAUGCAAGUCGAGGGGCAGCGGGAUUGAAGCUUGCUUCAAUUGCCGGCGACCGGCGCACGGGUGAGUAACGCGUAUCCAACCUUCCGUACACUCAGGGAUAGCCUUUCGAAAGAAAGAUUAAUACCUGAUGGUAUGAUGAGAUUGCAUGAUAGCAUCAUUAAAGAUUUAUCGGUGUACGAUGGGGAUGCGUUCCAUUAGGUAGUAGGCGGGGUAACGGCCCACCUAGCCAACGAUGGAUAGGGGUUCUGAGAGGAAGGUCCCCCACAUUGGAACUGAGACACGGUCCAAACUCCUACGGGAGGCAGCAGUGAGGAAUAUUGGUCAAUGGACGAGAGUCUGAACCAGCCAAGUAGCGUGAAGGAUGAAGGUCCUACGGAUUGUAAACUUCUUUUAUAAGGGAAUAAACCCUCCCACGUGUGGGAGCUUGUAUGUACCUUAUGAAUAAGCAUCGGCUAACUCCGUGCCAGCAGCCGCGGUAAUACGGAGGAUGCGAGCGUUAUCCGGAUUUUAUUGGGUUUAAAGGGAGCGCAGACGGGUCGUUAAGUCAGCUGUGAAAGUUUGGGGCUCAACCUUAAAAUUGCAGUUGAUACUGGCGUCCUUGAGUGCGGUUGAGGUGUGCGGAAUUCGUGGUGUAGCGGUGAAAUGCUUAGAUAUCACGAAGAACUCCGAUUGCGAAGGCAGCACACUAAUCCGUAACUGACGUUCAUGCUCGAAAGUGUGGGUAUCAAACAGGAUUAGAUACCCUGGUAGUCCACACGGUAAACGAUGGAUACUCGCUGUUGGCGAUAUACUGUCAGCGGCUUAGCGAAAGCGUUAAGUAU